CCCUUAGAUGUUCUGGGCCGCACACGCGCUACACUGAAGGAGGCAGCGUGUACUCCUGGAUCGAAAGAUUUGGGUAUCCCGCGAAUCUCCUUCGUGCUAGGGAUUGAGGUUUGCAAUUAUCCUUCAUGAACGAGGAAUUCCCAGUAAGUGCAAGUCAUAAGCUUGCGCUGACUACGUCCCUGCCCUUUGUACACACCGCCCGUCGCUACUACCGAUUGAAUGAUUUAGUGAGGACUUCGGACUGGGACCGAUGCGGCUUUCGGGCUGCGUCGGUAUUCUGGAAAGAUGUCCAAACUGUAUCAUUUAGAGGAAGUAAAAGUCGUAACA
rnacentral:rRNA from 1 species